rnacentral:rRNA from 1 species
GCCGCCGCGGUAACACCGGCAGCUCUAGUGGUAGCAGUUUUUAUUGGGCCUAAAGCGUCGUAGCCGGUUUAAUAAGUCUCUGGUGAAAUCCUGCAGCUUAACUGUGGGAAUUGCUGGAGAUACUAUUAGACUUGAGAUCGGGAGAGGUUAGAGGUACUCCCAGGGUAGAGGUGAAAUUCUGUAAUCCUGGGAGGACCGCCUGUUGCGAAGGCGUCUGACUGGAACGAUUCUGACGGUGAGGGACGAAAGCUAGGGGCGCGAACCGGAUUAGAUACCCGGGUAGUCCUAGCUGUAAACGAUGCGGACUUGGUGUUGGGGUGGCUUUGAGCUGUCCCAGUGCCGAAGGGAAGCUGUUAAGUCCGCCGCCUGGGAAGUACGGU